rnacentral:rRNA from 1 species
GAGUUUGAUCAUGGCUCAGGAUAAACGCUCGCGGCGUGCAUCAAACAUGCAAGUCGAACGUCCCCGCAAGGGGGAGUGGCGUACGGCUGAGGAACACGUCGGUAACCUGUCCUACAAUGGGGAAUACCCCAGCGAAAGCUGGAAUAAUACCGCGUACGCUGCCCGGUGGCAUCACCAGGCAGGAAAGCCGCAAGGCGUUGUAGGAGGGGCCGGCGGGCGAUUAGCUUGUUGGUGGGGUAACGGCCUACCAAGGCGAUGAUCGCUAGCGGGUCUGAGAGGAUGAUCCGCCAGACUGGGACGGAGGACGGCCCAGACACCUACGGGUGGCAGCAGUUAGGAAUUUUGCGCAAUGGGGGAAACCCUGAUGCAGCGACGCCGCGUGAGCGAUGAAGCCCUUCGGGGUGUAAAGCUCUUUCGGCCCGAACGAUAAUGACGGUGCGGGAAGAAGAAGCUGCGGCUAACUACGUGCCAGCAGCCGCGGUAAUACGUAGGCAGCGAGCGUUGUUCGGAGUUACUGGGCGUAAAGGGUGCGUAGGCGGUUUUCCAAGUUUGUUGUGAAAUCUCCCGGCUU